UGGGGAAUAUUGCACAAUGGGCGCAAGCCUGAUGCAGCAACGCCGCGUGAGGGACGACGGCCUUCGGGUUGUAAACCUCUUUUAGUAGGGAAGAAGCGAAAGUGACGGUACCUGCAGAAAAAGCACCGGCUAACUACGUGCCAGCAGCCGCGGUAAUACGUAGGGUGCAAGCGUUGUCCGGAAUUAUUGGGCGUAAAGAGCUCGUAGGCGGUUUGUCGCGUCUGCUGUGAAAACCCGAGGCUCAACCUCGGGCCUGCAGUGGGUACGGGCAGACUAGAGUGCGGUAAGGGAGAAUGGAAUUCCUGGUGUAGCGGUGGAAUGCGCAGAUAUCAGGAGGAACACCGAUGGCGAAGGCAGUUCUCUGGGCCGUAACUGACGCUGAGGAGCGAAAGCGUGGGGAGCGAACAGGAUUAGAUACCCUGGUAGUCCACGCCGUAAACGUUGGGCGCUAGAUGUGGGGCACCAUUCCACGGUUUCCGUGUCGCAGCUAACGCAUUAA
rnacentral:rRNA from 1 species